CUCUAUUCAAGCCCUUCAUAGAACUGGUCGUGCGUCUUAAUACAUAUUUACUUGCUUAUUUUUCCUGCUUCUUCUACUUUGCUGCUGAAUGUUCCAUGCAGGGCUUGGCACAUAGUAGUUGCCCAUUUUUGCUGGUGUGAUUACUACGAGCCGCAGCAGCAUCUCAGUGGCUGAUCUCCGAACGGUUUAUUUCUUGAUCGUAUGACUCACCCAGUGUGGAUGGGUAGGACCUCUGCUUUCCACACUCCAGCUACAGAGGAGCCCGGCCACAGUAUACCUUCCCGAUCUGAACAACAGGGCCCGAAAGAUUUGCCAAAGAAGGGGAGUCAAGAGAAAAAUGAGGCAUGUGGCUUUUAACAGUCCAGCAUCUGCACGUGUCGUCUCUGUUCGUGGUCUGUUGGCCCCAACCAGCCACUUGGCUCCACCUCGCUGCAGGGACUCUGGGAGAUGGAGGCAGAGCACAACACAGGAGGGUCGGAUGCAAACCGCGCAGCUUCUGUCUCGGAGAACAUCGAGUCCACGCACGGCAGCUGCUCCGGCCCCGCUUGGCCUUGGGCUGAAGGCACCGUGUGGUUUUGGGUCUGGUGUGGUGGGAGCAGGAGGGCCCGGUCACCUCCCCUUCCUGCUUCCAGCUCUGUCCGUUCCCAGUUGGUGCCACUGCCCAGCCUCCCCCGGUCACUGCCCUCUGACCUGUGGGGUGGCCUCCCAGGCACAUUCUCCAGAGGUGGGGCCUUCUCAGCACUUCGAAGGGCCAGCUUGGUCACUUUACGUAUCUCCAGAAAGACUCCAGGUCAGGAUCUCUCAGCCGUUUUGGCGUCUGGGGCUGGAUAGUCUCUGCUGGGGGGCUGACCUAUGCAUCUAG
rnacentral:lncRNA from 1 species